rnacentral:rRNA from 1 species
UACGUAGGGUGCAAGCGUUGUCCGGAAUUAUUGGGCGUAAGAGCUCGUAGGCGGUUUGUCGCGUCGAAUGUGAAAACCCGGGGCUCAACCCCGGGCCUGCAUUCGAUACGGGCAGACUAGAGUUCGGUAGGGGAGUCUGGAAUUCCUGGUGUAGGCGGUGGAAUGCGGCAGAUAUCAGGAGGAACACCAAGUGGCGAAGGCGGCUCGCUGGGCCAGUUCUGACACUCGAUCCGCGAAAGCGUGGG